UACGAAGGGGGCGAGCGUUGUUCGGAUUUACUGGGCGUAAAGGGCGCGCAGGCGGUUCUGUUUGUCGGGUGUGAAAGCCCCGGGCUCAACCUGGGAACUGCGCUCGAAACGGCGGAACUAGAGUUCGGGAGAGGAGAGUGGAAUUCCCAGUGUAGAGGUGAAAUUCGUAGAUAUUCGGAGGAACACCAGUGGCGAAGGCGGCUCACUGGUCCAUUACUGACGCUGAGGUGCGAAAGCGUGGGGAGCAAACAGG
rnacentral:rRNA from 1 species